rnacentral:rRNA from 1 species
UCGUCACACUAUCAUUAACUGAAUCCAUAGGUUAAUGAGGCGAACCGGGGGAACUGAAACAUCUAAGUACCCCGAGGAAAAGAAAUCAACCGAGAUUCCCACAGUAGCGGCGAGCGAACGGGGAGGAGCCCAGAGCCUGAAUCAGCAUGUGUGUUAGUGGAAGCGUCUGGAAAGGCGCGCGAUACAGGGUGACAGCCCCGUACACAAAAGCGCAUGUGUUGUGAGCUCGAUGAGUAGGGCGGGACACGUGGUAUCCUGUCUGAAUAUGGGGGGACCAUCCUCCAAGGCUAAAUACUCCUGACUGACCGAUAGUGAACCAGUACCGUGAGGGAAAGGCGAAAAGAACCCCGGCGAGGGGAGUGAAAAAGAACCUGAAACCGUGUACGUACAAGCAGUGGGAGCACCCUUUGGGGUGUGACUGCGUACCUUUUGUAUAAUGGGUCAGCGACUUAUAUUCUGUAGCAAGGUUAACCGAAUAGGGGAGCCGGAGGGAAACCGAGUCUUAAUUGGGCGUUAAGUUGCAGGGUAUAGACCCGAAACCCGGUGAUCUAGCCAUGGGCAGGUUGAAGGUUGGGUAACACUAACUGGAGGACCGAACCGACUAAUGUUGAAAAAUUAGCGGAUGACCUGUGGCUGGGGGUGAAAGGCCAAUCAAACCGGGAGAUAGCUGGUUCUCCCCGAAAGCUAUUUAGGUAGCGCCUCGUGAAUUCAUCUCCGGGGGUAGAGCACUGUUUCGGCUAGGGGGCCAUCCCGGCUUACCAACCCGAUGCAAACUGCGAAUACCGGAGAAUGUUAUCACGGGAGACACACGGCGGGUGCUAACGUCCGUCGUGAAGAGGGAAACAACCCAGACCGCCAGCUAAGGUCCCAAAGUCAUAGUUAAGUGGGAAACGAUGUGGGAAGGCCCAGACAGCCAGGAUGUUGGCUUAGAAGCAGCCAUCAUUUAAAGAAAGCGUAAUAGCUCACUGGUCGAGUCGGCCUGCGCGGAAGAUGUAACGGGGCUAAAC